rnacentral:rRNA from 1 species
GGAAUAUUGCACAAUGGGGGAAACCCUGAUGCAGCCAUGCCGCGUGUAUGAAGAAGGCCUUCGGGUUGUAAAGUACUUUCAGUUGUGAGGAAGGCGUUGGAGUUAAUAGCUUCAGCGUUUGACGUUAGCAACAGAAGAAGCACCGGCUAACUCCGUGCCAGCAGCCGCGGUAAUACGGAGGGUGCGAGCGUUAAUCGGAAUUACUGGGCGUAAAGCGCAUGCAGGCGGUCUGUUAAGCAAGAUGUGAAAGCCCGGGGCUCAACCUCGGAACAGCAUUUUGAACUGGCAGACUAGAGUCUUGUAGAGGGGGGUAGAAUUUCAGGUGUAGCGGUGAAAUGCGUAGAGAUCUGAAGGAAUACCGGUGGCGAAGGCGGCCCCCUGGACAAAGACUGACGCUCAGAUGCGAAAGCGUGGGGAGCAAACAGGAUUAGAUACCCUGGUAGUCCACGCCGUAAACGAUGUCUACUUGAAGGUUGUGGCCUUGAGCCGUGGCUUUCGGAGCUAACGCGUUAAGUAGACCGCCUGGGGAGUACGGUCGCAAGAUUAAAACU